ACGGCUCAGUAACACGUGGGCAACCUACCCUCAGGACAGGCAUAACCCCGGGAAACUGGGGCUAAUCCCUGAUAGGCACCCUCAACUGGAAUGUGUCGGUGUCGAAAGCUCCGGCGCCUGAGGAUGGGCCUGCGGCCGAUUAGGUUGUUGGCGGGGUAACAGCCCACCAAGCCGACGAUCGGUACGGGCAGUGAGAGCUGUAGCCCGGAGAUGGGGACUGAGACAAGGCCCCAGGCCCUACGGGGCGCAGCAGGCGCGAAACCUUCACAAUGCUCGAAAGAGUGAUGAGGGUACUCCGAGUGCCAGUGCUUAGCACUGGCUUUUCUGCAGCGUAAAUAGUUGCAGGAAUAAGGGCUGGGCAAGACCGGUGCCAGCCGCCGCGGUAACACCGGCAGCCCUAGUGGUGACCGCUUUUAUUGGGCCUAAAGCGUUCGUAGCCGGGCCGGUAAGUCCUUGGGUAAAUCCUGCGUCUCAAGCGCGGGAAUUCUAAGGAUACUACUGGCCUUGAGGCCGGGAUAGGCGAGAGGUACUCCCGGGGUAGGGGUAAAAUCCUAUAAUCCUGGGGGGACCACCGAUGGCGAAGGCAUCUCGCUGGAACGGGCCUGACGGUGAGGGACGAAACCUAGGGGAGCGAGCCGGAUUAGAUACCCGGGUAGUCCUGGGCGUAAAUGAUGUAGGCUUGGUGUGAGCGCAUCGACGAGUGCGCUUGUGCCGGAGGGAAGCCGUUAAGCCCACCGCCUGGGGAGUACGGUCGCAAGGCUGAACUUAAAGGAAUUUGGGCGGGGGGAGCAC
rnacentral:rRNA from 1 species